GCUGAUCAAAAAAUGGUUGGACGGUUAAAGGAAAUCUCUAUUGCCAAUCAUUUAGCAAGUUCUACCGGGAAAGACAGCUAAGAAGUAAUCCUCAAGAAACAUAACGCAACUUGAUAUAGGUCAGUUAAAGCUUGGUCAAUGAAGCAAAAAGUGAGUACUUACUUCACUAACAGAUAAUUAAAGACAGCUUACAAAUAACUAAAUACUAAAUAAUGCUUUAAGUUAUUAUAUGCUUGGAAACUAGAUGCACUAACAGUAAAAACGUGACAGAUAAAACAGUCACACAAAGCAAAGACAGCAUUCUCUACAUGUAAACUAGUGUAUCCCUAAUUCAUAAUAAAACCCAAUGUAAAGUCAAUCAAUAUCAUAUAUCAAGGGAAAUCAAUCAAGCAUACCCCAACAGAUGCCAAAACAUGAAGAUCAUGCUAAACAUUAAGAAUAACUCAAUGCUGACUACCUUAGGACUUAAAACCAUGCUAAUUGGACUUAUAUUUCAACACUCAACAUUGAAAACAAGGGCCCCUUCUUUCUCAUUAAAAGAUAGAAAUGAAGUAAAAUAAACACAGCAUAAUCAUUUUCUCAAAUGAAAAAUCAUACUCUUAAGGCAUAUAGAGGUCAUUGCAAUUAGGACUUCUUAAUAUUAUCAAUAUCAUAUAAAAUAUUAUCGUUCAGGUACAUAUACAUCGUUCAGGUGCAUAUAGAGGUCAUGCAAAAAUAAUAUACAUAUAAAAGCCUAGAUUGAAUAAUUAGGACCCAUCCAUCCCUGAAGAAAUCAUCAGUUUAAAGC
rnacentral:lncRNA from 1 species